AAAGGAAACCGAGGAAAGAAGAGGAGAGAAAGGAAAAAGAGGGGUUAGGGUUUGAAGACGAGACCCAAAGUGUUACUCUAAAGUGUCAUUUUUCUCCAAUUUUCCAUUGAAACUUCUUAGAGCUGCACUCAAUCCAAGGUAAUCCAGAUGAGUAGCUGUUUCCGCUUAUAGUCGAGUUUUGGGUGUCAUUGCUCUGAUACGUAGCACUUGGGGGGGGGAUGAACACUUGCUUGAUGUUGUUAUUUGCUUAUUGAACCUUAUGAUGUAUUUGAGGAUUUGUUUGUAUUGUUUCUUUUUAUGAUUCAAAAGAUGUUAUGUCUUAAUUGUUGAAUCAUUGUGAAUCUGUUGCAUGUUGAACCUAAGUUUGGGUUAUGCUAUGAAUACUAUGUUAUUCAAAAGUUGAGAUAUAUGUUAUGAGUUUUGUUCACUCCAA